rnacentral:tRNA from 1 species
GAUUAGCUCAGGUGGUAGAGCACUUGACUUUUAAUCAAGUUGUCGAGGGUUCGAGUCCCUCAUC